rnacentral:rRNA from 1 species
AUUAUUAUGUUGCUUUUAUUUUUAUUAAUUAUUUUUUUAUAGAAAUAACUUUUUUAUUAGUAAAUUUUAUUGAAAUUAUUAUUAUUAGCAAUAGUUUAUAUUACUGUGAAGGAAUUUUAUAAAUUAUUUAUAAGCAAAUUUUAUUUAUUGUACCUUUUGUAUCAGGGUUUAUUAAUUAAAAAUUAAUUAUAUUAAUUUUCCCGAAAUUAAAAGAGAUAUAUUUUAAUGAUAGUUUACGUGUUAAAGUAAUUUUUAAUUAAAUUAUAGGAGUUAUAUGCUAUUCAAUUUUAAAUAUCUGGUUAUCUAAUAAAUUAAUUUAAUUAAUAAUGUUAUUUAGUUAAAUUAUAAAUUUAUUUUUUUUAAUAAUAACAUUAAAAGUUUUAGGGGAUAAGCUCUAUUACUGUUUUAUAACUAAUUUUAUUUUUAAAAUUUUGUAGGCUUGACAACAGCCAUCAUUUAUUUCGUUACAGUUAAUUUUUAUUUUGUUUUUAUUUAUUAUUGGUUUAAUUUUUUAUUAGAUAUUUUUAUUUAAUUUUUUAUUAUAGGUUAUAAUGAUAGAAUUAGUAGUUUUGAAUAUUUAAAUACAGGAACUCGGCAAAUUUAAUUCUCGCCUGUUUAACAAAAACAUGUCCUUUAGUAUUAAAUAAAUUAAAGGUCUGACCUGCCCAGUGAUAAACUUAAACGGCCGCAGUAUUCUGACUGUGCGAAGGUAGCAUAAUCAUUUGUCUUUUAAUUUAAGGCUAGUAUGAAUGGUUGGACGAGGAAUUAACUUUCUUUAUUUAAAUUUUAUGAAUUUGAUUUUUGAGUUAAAAAGCUUAAAUAUAUUUGCAAGACGAGAAGACCCUAUAGAAUUUUAUUAUAUAAGGUUUUAUUUUUUAUUUGGUUAUUUAUUUAAUUAAUAUAAUUUUUAUAAUUUUGUUGGGGCGACAAUGAAAAUUAAUUAACUUUCAUUUUUAAUUAUUCAUAAAUUAAUGUAUUUUUUGAUCCUAAAUUUUGGAUUAUAAGAUUAAAUUACCUUAGGGAUAACAGCGUAAUUUUUUUGGAGAGUUCAUAUCGAUGAAAAAGUUUGCGACCUCGAUGUUGGAUUAAAGUAAGUCCUUGGUGCAGUAGCUUAUGUGACUAAGUCUGUUCGACUUUUAAAUCUUUACAUGAUCUGAGUUCAGACCGGCGUGAGAUCG